rnacentral:rRNA from 13 species
UUGGCACCUCGAUGUCGGCUCAUCGCAACCUGGGGCGGAAGUACGUCCCAAGGGUUGGGCUGUUCGCCCAUGAAAGCGGUACGCGAGCUGGGUUCAGAACGUCGCGAGACAGUUCGGUCUCUAUCUAUUGCGGGCGUUAGAAAUUUGAAGGGAGCUGACUUUAGUACGAGAGGACCGAGUCGGACGAACCUCUAGUGUACCUGUUGUGGCGCCAGCUGCAUCGCAGGGUAGCUAUGUUCGGAUGAGAUAAGCGCUGAAAGCAUAUAAGCGCGAAACUCGCCCUAAGAUGAGAUUUCUUUUAAGGGUCGUUCGAGAUCAGGACGUUGAUAGGCUACAGGUGUAAAGGCAGUAAUGUCAUAGC